AACGUAGGACGCAAGCGUUAUCCGGAGUUACUGGGCGUAAAGCGUGCGCAGGCGGUUUUGUAAGCCAGAUGUGAAAUCCCCGGGCUUAACCUGGGAAUGGCAUUUGGGACUGCAAGGCUCGAGUGCGGCAGAGGAGACUGGAAUUCCUGGUGUAGCGGUGAAAUGCGCAGAUAUCAGGAGGAACACCGGUGGCGAAGGCGGGUCUCUGGGCCGAUACUGACGCUGAGGAGCGAAAGCGUGGGGAGCAAACAGG
rnacentral:rRNA from 1 species